UACGUAGGGGGCAAGCGUUGUCCGGAUUUAUUGGGCGUAAAGAGCGUGUAGGCGGUCAGGUAGGUCCGUUGUGAAAACUCGAGGCUCAACCUCGAGACGCCGAUGGAAACCAUCUGACUAGAGUCCGGAAGAGGAGAGUGGAAUUCCUGGUGUAGCGGUGAAAUGCGCAGAUAAUCAGGAAGAACACCCGUGGCUAAGGCGGCUCUCUAGUACGGUACUGACGCUGAGACGCGAAAGCGUGGGAGCGAACAGG
rnacentral:rRNA from 1 species